AGAAUGCAGCAUUGCAGGCUAACUCUGCCCAGUGCCAGGAGUUUGGUCCUGACCAGCUCAAAGUUGACUCAGCUUUCCAUCCUUCCAAGUGUACCAUGAACUAACCAAGUCAGCCUGGUCUAUCCAAUGCAUUAAAGCCACAAGAAAGAAACAAAGCUGAACGACCACAUAACUACCAGUUCAACCCUGCAAAAUUUCAGAUGGGGUCACUAGGCCUUUAACUGGCCCGGAUAAGGAUUAGAGCUGUAGAUACUUCAAAAUCAUUCAGAAGAAACGCUUUGGACCUCUCAUGAGUACAACACUACUUGAAUAACAGAAUAAUUUACAUGUUGCACAGAAUAUGACGUACAUAUGGAAACAUAUGACUAGUUUUUUUUCCUAACUACUUGCAUAAGGAUUAUUCUUUAUAUUAUUCAUGUUGUCAUGUAUUCUUGUAUGGACUGCACCAGUAGAGGCUAAACCAAUUUUGUUGUAUACAUGAUGUACAAUGACAAUAAAGGCUUUGAACUUUGAA